rnacentral:lncRNA from 1 species
UUCACAAUCUCUAUUACCUGUGGGUUCCCAGGUGUCACAGACGCCAGGGAUUGCUAAAAGUCCUCCAGUGGAAACAGAAGGCAAACUGCACGGCUUCUCCCUGUCCUGUUCAAACGCAGAAGCAAAUGUCACACUUUUCUGCUUCAGGAGAUACCUAAAAUUCAUGUGGCCAUUGCAGGAAAUCACUGAACCCCAGACAGAUCUGCAAGCGGAGAAUUCAGACCUCCAAGUGGAUAGAGUUAUUACAUUUUUCCUCACACCUGCUGUCUUUCAAUCUAAGACCUCUUCCUCUUGAAAAUUCUUAAUUUUGUGCCACGCCAGCACCCUCUGCUGGUACUAGUGUCGUCAUUCAGGUGGUUUCUGUGCCCCUGGAGUUGCGUUCUUUCCUGAAACUAACUUCUCUUACCUUAAAUCCUGGACUAGUGGAUAGUGCUCUUCAUUGCCUUCCAUCAAGACACACACACAAAUGAAGCAAGAUGAAGUGUAAAAAGGUUGUGAGUUAAUUAAAAUCACAUUUCAGUUUAUUGUACUUUUGCCUGAGCAACCCCUUUGUUUGUGUAUUUCAUAUUAUUUUGAAAUAUAGGAUAAUUAAAAGUGGUUUUAUUUUCUGGAUGCUGGUUACUGCAUGUUUCAGAUAAUUUUCCUUGCUAAAAGUAUUCUCUUAGUCUUUAAUCUUUAAAAUGCAUAUUAUGGCAGAGACAAUACAAGAUCCUUUCAUUUUUUCCAGGCUAAAAAGGAAAACUAUAAUCUUCCAGCACCUUAGCUUAUA